UACGAAGGGUGCAAACGUUGCUCGGAAUUAUUGGGCGUAAAGCGCACGUAGGCGGCUUGGCAAGUCGGAUGUGAAAUCCCUCGGCUCAACCAAGGAAGUGCAUCCGAAACUGCUGAGCUUGAGUACUUAAGAGGAUCGCGGAAUUCCCGGUGUAGAGGUGAAAUUCGUAGAUAUCGGGAGGAACACCAGUGGCGAAGGCGGCUUUCUGGUCUGCUCUUGACGCUGAGGCGCGAAAGCUAGGGUAGCAAACGGG
rnacentral:rRNA from 1 species